rnacentral:rRNA from 1 species
UGGCGAACGGGUGAGUAACACGUGGGUGAUCUGCCCUGCACUUCGGGAUAAGCCUGGGAAACUGGGUCUAAUACCGGAUAGGACGAUGGUUUGGAUGCCAUUGUGGAAAGUUUUUCGGUGUGGGAUGAGCUCGCGGCCUAUCAUCUUGUUGGUGGGGUAAUGGCCUACCAAGGCGUCGACGGGUAGCCGGCCUGAGAGGGUGUACGGCCACAUUGGGACUGAGAUACGGCCCAG